UAUCGUAUUGCUCUUUCCAACUCUGGCUUUACCACCGGGACUCGUACCGACGCCUAGAAUGAACAUUGUCACUGCAAGUCUCAUUAGAUGUGGUUCAACACAAAACAAACCAACGUUUCCAUUCGAACAGCAGACUCAACAAAUAAAUAAAAAACAAAACGCAAAAAAAUCAUUGGAAACAAGAGGGAAGAAAAACGAAGAACAUUGUCUUGGGGAUGAACUACAUACAAAUUUCCUUUCUGAAGUGAUAAAAAAUUGUUCGCGCCUCGUUUCCAAGCAACAAAAAGCAUCCUAAAUCGCCCCGGUUGAAGAAAAAAAAUAGGUGAAAUAAAAAAAAAAAUUUGCUGUUUUGUAUAUCUCACGUGGCUUAUCUGAAGUCGUAAUAAUAAACUCACUGGUAUCGAGCUGUCCAGGACUAUUUUUUGGUGCUGCUGGCCUCGUUGCUGAUACACGCGCACUAUUCUCCUUGAUGGUAGCUGCAUCAACAGUAUUUUGACGUUUGAAAUUACUACCACCAAUUGAUGUUA